rnacentral:rRNA from 1 species
GGCCUACCAUGGUGGUAACGGGUAACGGGGUGCUAGGGCACGACACCGGAGAGGGAGCCUGAGAAACGGCUACCACAUCCAAGGAUGGCAGCAGGCGCGCAAAUUACCCAAUCCCGACACGGGGAGGUAGUGACAAUAAAUAACAAUACGGGGUUCUUUCGGAUUUCGUAAUUGGAAUGAGUACAAUUUAAAUCUCUUAACGAGGAACAAUUGGAGGGCAAGUCUGGUGCCAGCAGCCGCGGUAAUUCCAGCUCCAAUAGCGUAUAUUAAAGUUGUUGCAGUUAAAAAGCUCGUAGUUGUAUUUCGGGGUUAGUAGGUUGGUCAUGCCUCUGGUAUGUACUGGUCUCACUGAUUCCUCCUUCCUGAUGAGCCGUAAUGCCAUUAAUUUGGUGUUGCGAGGAAUCUGGACUGUUACUUUGAAAAAAUUAGAGUGUUUAAAGCAGGCUAACGCUUGAAUACAUUAGCAUGGAAUAAUGAAAUAGGACGUUCGAUCCUAUUUUGUUGGUUUCUAGGAUUGACGUAAUGAUUAAUAGGGAUAGUUGGGGGCAUUAGUAUUCAAUUGUCAGAGGUGAAAUUCUUGGAUUUAUUGAAGACUAACUACUGCGAAAGCAUUUGCCAAGGAUGUUUUCAUUAAUCAAGAACGAAAGUUAGGGGAUCGAAGACGAUCAGAUACCGUCGUAGUCUUAACCAUAAACUAUGCCGACUAGGGAUCGGAUGAUGUUAAUUUUUUAAUGACUCAUUCGGCGCCUUACG